GCAUCAGAAAAGUAUAGCAGACCGAAGGAGCCAUCAAACAAAAAGUGAUGUCAUAAAAUUAUGCUUAAUGUUGCCGAAAUUGCUGUUUUCGGGAGAUAAGUCCAUAAAGUAAAUUACGGUGUAAUUGAAUGUGCUGCUGGUUCUAUAUACCCUCUAUACCUCUGCUAUGCGAUGUGCUCUCAACACUAUGAAAAUAACGAACAACGGUUCGGUUGAGAGGGACCUUUAUGUUUUCCAUAUUUCUCUCGAAAACGGGAUAAAUGGAAACGGAGUAUGUCAGUUGUUAGGGUGAUUGCUCAAGAUUGUCAGAGUUUGAAGGGCGAAUGAGAAGCGUGCAGAUCGAUAGAUUUUUGGGUGAAAUGAAGUUUAAGAGUUUUUAAAACGUCUGCUUUAACAAAUAUCUUACUGCGGAAGGUUGAAACUUUGUUGGUGUGAUGGAAGAAGUGCUUCUAAAAGGAAAAACUAAAGUGAUGGACAGUCAAGUUUUAUUAAAAAUUACAAAUUGAUCAGAAGGAAAUUGAAUUG